GACGAACGCUGGCGGCGUGCUUAACACAUGCAAGUCGAACGGAAAGGCCCUGCUUGCAGGGUACUCGAGUGGCGAACGGGCGAGUAACACGUGGGUGAUCUGCCCUGCACUUCGGGAUAAGCCUGGGAAACUGGGUCUAAUACCGGAUAGGAGCCAUUUUUAGUGUGAUGGUUGGAAAGUUUUUUCGGUGUAGGAUGAGCUCGCGGCCUAUCAGCUUGUUGGGGGGGUAAUGGCCUACCAAGGCGGCGACGGGUAGCCGGCCUGAGAGGGUGGACGGCCACAUAGGGACUGAGGUACGGCCCAGACUCCGACGGGAGGCAGCAGGGGGGAAGAUUGCACAAGGGGCGCAAGCCGGAUGCAGCAACGCCGCGUGGGGGAUGACGGCCUUCGGGUUGAAAACUCCAUUCGCUAGGGACGAAGCUUUUUGUGACGGUACCUAGAUAAGAAGCACCGGCUAACUACGUG
rnacentral:rRNA from 1 species